rnacentral:rRNA from 1 species
UACGAAGGGGGCUAGCGUUGCUCGGAAUGACUGGGCGUAAAGGGCGCGUAGGCGGAUGGCACAGUCAGAUGUGAAAUUCCCGGGCUUAACCUGGGGGCUGCAUUUGAUACGUGUUGUCUUGAGUUCGGAAGAGGGUCGUGGAAUUCCCAGUGUAGAGGUGAAAUUCGUAGAUAUUGGGAAGAACACCGGUGGCGAAGGCGGCGACCUGGUCCGACAAUGACGCUGAGGCGCGAAAGCGUGGGGAGCAAACAGG